ACGUACAAACACAUACAGGAAGAAAAAAAGGAGGCAGCAGCAAUUCUAUAUAUAUUUUACACUCUUUGGCCAGUUGUAGGGAGGAAUAAUUUCGGCUUCCAGUAAUUGAGAGAGAGAGAGAGAGAGAGCCCGUGCGGCUAACGAGGGAAAGGCAGUGGACGAUUGGAACAAAAUUGGAAAUUAAUCACGUUCCGUCAAUUCUCAGUGAUGUCUUUCAUAAUUUUUCGUUUUUCUUUCAUUAAUAUGCGUAGCUAAAUUUAAUUUUAGGGCAAACAAUGUAACCUAUUUGAGACCUUUAUUUCUUUUAUUUAAGAUUCUUGUUCUUUUAUAUUUUAUGUGUGGAUUUUAAUUAUAUUUUUAAUACUUUGGAUUUUUUGGCCAAUUAUUCAAUGAUUUUGUG
rnacentral:lncRNA from 1 species